CACGUAGGCACCAAGCGUUGUCCGGAUUUAUUGGGCGUAAAGAGCUCGUAGGUGGCUGAGUAAGUCGGAUGUUAAAUCCCCAGGCUCAACCUGGGACACCACCCGAUACUGCUCUGGCUAGAGUCCGGUAGGGGAGCGUGGAAUUCCUGGUGUAGCGGUGAAAUGCGCAGAUAUCAGGAGGAACACCAGCGGCGAAGGCGGCGCUCUGGGCCGGAACUGACACUGAGGAGCGAAAGCGUGGGUAGCAAACAGG
rnacentral:rRNA from 1 species